rnacentral:rRNA from 1 species
CCUACGGUAGGCAGCAGUGAGGAAUAUUGGUCAAUGGACGCAAGUCUGAACCAGCCAUGCCGCGUGCAGGAAGACGGCUCUAUGAGUUGUAAACUGCUUUUGUACGAGGGUAAACGCAGAUACGCGUAUCUGUCUGAAAGUAUCGUACGAAUAAGGGUCGGCUAACUCCGUGCCAGCAGCCGCGGUAAUACGGAGGAUUCAAGCGUUAUCCGGAUUUAUUGGGUUUAAAGGGUGCGUAGGCGGUCGGAUAAGUUAGAGGUGAAAUCCCGAGGCUCAACUUCGGAAUUGCCUCUGAUACUGUUCGGCUAGAGAGUAGUAGCGGUAGGCGGAAUGUAUGGUGUAGCGGUGAAAUGCUUAGAGAUCAUACAGAACACCGAUUGCGAAGGCAGCUUACCAAGCUACUUCUGACGUUGAGGCACGAAAGCGUGGGGAGCAAACAGGAUUAGAUACCCGGGUAGUC